rnacentral:lncRNA from 1 species
CUUAGUAAUCCUUUACGAUGCUUUUGUGAAACACACGUAACGUGAACGUAAAACCACACGUAAACAGAUCGUAAACUGAUACGAUGAUUGUAAGUUAAGAAGGCUUUGUGAAACGGUGGCCAGGUAGAAUAAGAAUAACACACUAUCCAUGACACCAAAUCAGGACAUGCUCAACAAAAGGCACACAAAAUAAAAUGAAAAAAAGUAAACAGCAAUGUUUUUUUUUCAAUUCAAAGUCAGACGUAUGUCUUAAACACGAAGCAAUUUAUGAUCUAAAUUUGAAUGAUGGUCUCGAAAAUUAUCGAAAACAACGC